AUUGAACGCUGGCGGCAGGCCUAACACAUGCAAGUCGAGCGGAUCGGCGGACGGGUGAGGAAUGCUUAUGUAUCUGACUGGUAGUGAGGGAUAACGUACGGUACCGGGCGCUAAUGCCGCAUACUAUCAGAUUAGCCUAGGUCGGAUUAGCUAGUUGGUGGGGUAAGGGCAUACCAAGGCGACGGUCCGUAACUGGUCCGAGAGUAUGAUCAGCCACACUGGAACUGAGACACGGUCCAGACUCCUACGGGAGGCAGCAGUGGGGAAUAUUGGACAAUGGGCGAAAGCCUGAUCCAGCCAUGCCGCGUGUGUGAAGAAGGUCUUCGGAUUGUAAAGCACUUUAAGUUGGGAGGCGUUACCAACAGAAUAAGCACCGGCUAACUCCGUGCCAGCAGCCGCGGUAAUUC
rnacentral:rRNA from 1 species